rnacentral:lncRNA from 1 species
CCUUAACAUACUAUCAUAAGCAUAAUUCAUACAUAAAUUAAAGUGUGAAAGAUAUAAUGAAAUUAAGAAAAUCUGAAAAUCAAGUUAUGUCAAUAAUGUUAUGACAGUACAACAACCAAAACUCGUCCACGAAACCUCUACUGAAUACUAACUGUCUACGCCAAGACAAGGCCCCGGCUGGACCAUUAAUUGAAAGACUCAACAUAUGAAUAAAUGCCUUUCGAAAGAUGGAUGGCUCACCAAUUAUGUUAUAUUCCAAAUGUUCUACUCAUGGGAUAGACCAUAGGGCUAUACCGCAAAACCUGAAAUAUGAGGGGGGAGGGUCAAUACUUGGAGAGUAUUGGUAUGUAGAACUAGCAUAAAAUAACAUAUACUUCGUAUAACAAAAUUUAGAGUAUUUUAAAAUAAUUCAGCAUAAUAUAUAUAUAUAUAUAUAUAUAAACAUGGGCAUAAUAUGAAAAACUUCCAUUCAUGCUUGUAAAACAUUUACUCAACUCUUUUCUUUAGUUCUAAGCUAGAUAGUACAUCCUAAAUUUCUAAAAUCCCACGGGCUAUAUGGAAUCCGCCCUUAACUUGGCAGCCAAGCCCCCAAUCCAAGUUUGUCGCAAAGAUUGGAGUACGUAAACUGGUAUACCCCCAUGUGAGUAUAUCAUAGGAACCCCCCCAUGCGAGAUGUCCUAAUUAUCUUCCCUUAUAGGAUAACAUAUCAUAAGUCCCGCGUAGGCAAAACACGAUUUUCAGCAGUGAGUUAACUGAACUUGUGCCUUCUUCGGGUAACCAAGGCUCUUAAAAUCAUACUUCAUGAUUAUGAAAAAGUUCAUUUCUUAUUCUAUUAAUGGCAUAUCAUAACAGGGUAUCGUAAUACCCAGACUUGCAAGUCAUCACAUCAUACCACAUCAUAUCCAUAGCCGUUUUUAUUCAAAAGUAUUUUAAUGACAACCCAAAAGAUUUAAACAUCACUUCAUAAAGUUCUUAUAUCAAGUAUCAUAUGAAAUUAUGCAAAAUACUUGCUUUUCAAUACUUUAACAUGUGGUGAUCAAUUCUUACAUAAAACACAUGCAAUUCUUCAUUAAGAAACAAUACCAUUUAGAAUAACAAUCAAUUUUUGAAAAACAUGUAAAAAAACCAAGCAUUAUAUGGAAAGAGGCAUUUAAAAUUCAAGAAUUAUCCUUAUUUGUAAAAUAAACCCAACAUUAGUUAUACGUAAAUCUAAUGAUCAAAAAAGGCCUUAUAAUUCAUGCUCUGAAACCCGUUUCAUAAUCCAUAACAUGUUAAGAACAUAAAUUUCAUCAUGGAAGGCGGAAAUUUCACAAAUAAUACUCACCUUUCGAAACUUAUAGUAUAUAUGCGCAUGAUUAUAAUUCAAGUUCAUGAAAAAACCCUUAGAAAUUUCAUAAUUUCACUAAACAUGAAUUCAUGAUGCAUUCUCUUCAACGGCUUUCAAACCCAUAAUACGUACAUACUUAUAUACUUUAAAGCUUGUAAAUACAUGAAAAUCAUGCCCAUGAGACUUAGUAUAGUCCCGCAUACAUUAAAAUCAAAGAGAACAUAGAGAAAUUUGGCCCUUGGAGAUUAAAAUCUUCAAACCCUAGGUAGUUUCUCUUCUUUAGCUUAAUGAAAGAUGAUUUGGGUAUUUGAGAAGUGAAAUAACGUGUGUUAAGACCUAAAUUUUGUCCAUAUAUGAUUAGGCACGAUUAUAGAAUGCGAAAAGAGCUCAAUGCCCUUAAAAUAGAAUAAAAUGGAACAGUUUAUUAUGCUUAGAAAAGGCUUUGCAUCGCCAAGCCAAAUCAAACCUCAAUGUUUGCAGCACAUGGACAAAUUAAACUUGAGGCAGUGUGAUUUUGGCGAUUCCUCUGCAGAACAGGGCCAACACAAACCCUAGACAGUGUCUCACUAAAAAAUUCAGAACUUUUGACUCCAAACUCGGAUUGACAAAUAAUCGAUGGCAUUGGAAAGAAGACUCAACGCACUUUAAUUUGAUAUAUUAUGGGCCGCAUAACUCCUCAUAUUCUAGGAGAAAUAGUUGCUGGAUGUUGACCCAAGAAAAAUCAUCAACUGAAACUCAACCGAUAAGAAAGUGCUCAACUUAAAUUUGAGCUAGGAGACUUUUAUGACGUAUACUCAUCUCCAAAGAUGUUCUCACACUAAAUAAUAAUUAUUCACACUUAUUUCUAUUUGGUAACCAUUGGUUUCGGGUCUAUACACAUAGGAAAAAUGGUUUAACUUUAGCCCGAAAGUAUGUGGUGUUACAUUAUCUCCCCCUUGGGGUCAUUCAUCCUCGAAUGGUGAGUAGGAACUUAUCAAAGCCAUAGAAGUAUGGAAUAAAGGACGUAAAUUUAUUUUUGGAAUUUUCCCUCAACGUAACUUACAUAGGCAUUCAAUAAAGGCUUCAUGACACCACCAAGUGAAUCGUAUAUGCAUGGAGCGUAAGAUAAUGAGAAUUGACAUAGAGAUAGCCUUGCGCAUGAGUUCUAGGGAUUAUAAUCAUCACAACAUUAGGCAUAAACUUAUUUGGUGGUCAUGGGUAUUGAUUUAAAUUGGCAUUAAAUAUGGGAUAAGACUCCAUGAAACAUAGGAAUAGAGGUAUCCUCCAUCUUAUAUGAUAUGACCGAUAGACCUUACACUUAGAGACACUACUCGACUAUGCCCCAAACAAUAAAUAACAUGCUUCAUCAUUUUCAACAUACAAUUUCCCCAACAAUCAGGGGAGGACCCACUUAGGUUCAAGUGGGUUCAAAUGAACCCACUUCAUCAAAAAAGUACACUGUAUAUAUAUGUAUAUAUAAUAAGUCUUUAUAAAUAUAAAAGUAUAUAUUUAAUUUUUAACCCACUAUGAACAAGUGAAGUGGGUAGUCUAGUGGAAGUGGGUUCAAAUUUUUUUACGCGAUGAACCCUUAUAACAACAGUCUUUUUUUUUCAAAAGCAGCAGCCCCAUUUUUUGGUUUUAACUUUUAAGCAUCAGUAAAGCAGCAACCACAUUUUUUUGGUAAAAAAAUUUACUUUUCAAUUUUUUCCUAAAACAUGCAAAUUCUCCAAUCCUCAAUUCUACCUUAUUCCCCAUUCCCUACAACAUAAAUAAAAACAAAAAUACUUGUAAUGCCCCGUACUUUUUUCUAGCUAAUUUCAUCCCAAGAAUAUCUAGUAUUAGCUUCUAAAUUAAAUUAUGGUUAUUCCAUGAGGAAUUUUUAUGAUAUUCACUUUUUGUCAUGUGAAAAAUUCAAUAAGCUUUCCAUCAAUAAAAGAUUCACCCAAAUUUGAUAACCGGGUCAGAAGUUACGACUAUUUUAACUGUUCAUUAUAAAACAGUGCCAUAUUAGUUAGUGACACGCUGCACCAUAAGAGGAAAUGGCACUUGGAAAAUUUCAGUAGGGGUCCGCUAUUAUGGCACGUAGCGCCAGGGCCCAAAUUCAGAAUUGUCCUUUUCCAGUAUCUUAGCGCGAUUUCCUCCGUGUCACGCCAAAGUUCCAGGCCACAAAAAAGGGGCAACGCGAUGGCUCCACGUCACGCCAUCCCUCAGUUUUUCAAUUAUCAAAUUCUAGUGACACAGUGCGAUAGCGCCAUGUCGCGCCAGGGGUUCAAUUCAAGAAUUUUUUACUGAAAGUACAAGACACGUCCAGGGUUAAAAGGGUCAAUUUUCCACCCCUAUUUAAGCCCUAUAAAACGUGAUUAAGCUACUUUUCAUCCAAAAUACACUCUCUUCUGUCAAAAAUCUCUCAAGAAUAACCUAGGGCUUUUCAUAGAAGAUUCAGAAUCAAGAAUUUCCUCCAUCAAUCUUCACGAAAUCGCAAACUAAGGUAUGCAUAGUGUUCAUUCAUGAACUCCUUUCAUCCAUAAAGCCCAAGAAUACCUUUUCUAAAUUCAAGUUUAUGGAUUUUCUUAUGAAUUUCAUGAGUGGACUGCUCUAGCUCAUGUGGAUAGUGAGAAAUUGAAUUCUACUCCAUGUUGGGUGAUAAAUUCUAUGUGGGUUACAUUAUUAUGGAUAUAGAUUCAUGCAAACCUAUGAUUAAACCCUUGAAUGAUGAAAUUAGAAUUGAAUCAUGAUGUUUAAUUAUUGUACAAUGAUGUUUACAUGUACCAUGCCUAUAAUAUGUUUGAUUAAAUGCCUAGAUGAAGAAAGUGCCUAACUAGCAUGAGACUAUGAAAUCCCCAUGUAUGUACAAGUUAUGCCUAUCACAUGUUUUGAUAAAAUACUUCUAUAAAUGUAUUAUGGAUUAUGAUGUUAGUUAUAUGUUCAAGUAAGUUAUGCUUGGUCAGUUUCCUUCCAUCGAGUCCUGGGGGUACUCGUACCCGAAACAUUAGUUGUGUGCCGAGAGCCAUGUCAUGUUUUCACGAUACUCUCAGUCAAGCUAUGAAUCCUUAGACUUUAGAUAGUCUUAUGACUCAGGAAAUCUCCAUGAUCUCAUAAACUCAGUCAGUUGUCAGAUAUCAGUAGUAUUCUAUCAGUCAACGAAAUUUAGAAACUCAACCCAUGUUUAGUUCAGUAAAUCAUGUUCAGAGUCUAUUCAGAUGGGAGUAGGAAUUAGUAUCGAGUGAACCAUAGGAUGGGAACACACACUAUCAGAUGAGGGUGUGAUUCUUAGAAGUCAUUCUUGCAUUUCAGAACUAUGUAGCCAACAUAGAUUGAGAUAUCAACACUGUCCGAUGAAGGUUGAUGAGGUGGAUAAGCACUGUCAGAUAAGGACCCCACCGUUCUUUUUUGGGAACACUAUCAGAUGAGGGUCACCCAAAGCUUGUCCUUACCAGUGGCGUGGUAUUUACACCCUUUCCAAUUGGGGUUACAGAUUGGACCCCAACUCAGCCAUAAUGGCAUAUUAGGGGUAUGUCAAUUAGAUAACUACUUCCCACAGUUUCAUGUUACAGAAUCAGGACUGUCAGAUAUAGUUAAUCAGUCUCAGUGAUAGAACUCGGAUAGUUAUUUAGAUUUUAGGACUAUUAAAUACAGUCAACUUAGAUAUAGUACGGAACUCAGAUAGUUCCAUCAGAUCUAGGACUGUCAGAUACAGUCACUCAUGUUAGCAGUUAUAUUCAGAUUCAGUAAUCAUGUUAUCAUAGUAUUAGUGUCAGUUGUUAUGUCUCAUACAUGUAUUCUCAUGCUCAUGAUAGUUAGUCAGUUAUUUUUAUUUUUUAUGCAUAUGAACCCCAUGCAUUCAGCCUACCUUACAUGCAUACCAAUACAUUCAAAGUACUGAUGUAUUUGCGUUAUGGUGUCUUAUACUAUAGGUUCAGAGAUAUGAGCUCCUGAGCAAUAGUAGAAUCCAGAUAUUUGCAGAUAGAGUUAGAAGUGAGUCCUCAUCUUUCAUGGAUAUGAUUAUUUCCCUAUUAUCUCAUUAAUCAGUUUAUUAGUUGGAGUUAGUUAGGGACAUAUCCCAUCAACUCCUUACUCAGAUAGGUAAGUCAGUUAGAGGCUUUCUAGACUAUCAUGUUUCAGACUUCAUUCAGAUGUUAUAUCUUUAGCAGUUAUGUUACAGUCUUGAACCUUAUAUUCUUUUAGUUCAUGUUUCCACAAUCAUACAGUAUAUUAUGCAGUAUACAGGUACAGAUAUCAGUCUUGGGUUAGCUUGUGGUCCUUUGGGGUCAUGAGCAUAGUGUAGUAUUCUGAGUACCAGAUCCGGGGAGUUACAAACUUGGUAUCAAAGUGUAAGGUUCAAUAGAGUUCUAGGAAGUAUGAAAGCCGUAUCUAGUAGAGUCUUAUACAUGGGUGUGUUGCGCGCCAUAUUUAUGUACAGGAGGCAAUAAGAUGUCUUAGGAAUAGUUUUCCCUUUUUCAGUAUUUAUGUCGUGCCAGUGAGCAUAAUCUCAAGUCAAUCUCUCAGUCUAAUCCAUUUCUCCCUUUCUUCUACAAAACAUGCCUCCUAAAAGAAGAAAUGGAAAUCAGUCAGCCCCUCAGCACGAAGAUCCUUUGGGCGAUCAUGUUUCUCAUGUGGAGUUUAGGGCCACUUUCACUACUCUUAAUCAGUUAGUUGUCGCUCAAAAUGAAUAGCCAGCAGUCAUUCCGGUCAACCCAGUGACCAAUUCAGCUGCACUAGGAUUCGGGACUUCACCCGAAUGAAUCCUUUAUCCUUCCUCGGGUCUAAGGUAGAUAAAAACCCUUAAAAAUUCAUUUAUUAGGUACAGAAAGUGAAAGACAUCAUGGGGUGACUACUGUCUAGAGUGCUGAGCUAGUUGUAUAUCAAUUGUAGGAUGUGGCUCAUACUUGGUUCAAACAGUGGAAGUGAAAAAGGUCAGAUGAUGCAGGUCCUAUAGAGUGGGAGGAGUUUGUCACUGCAUUCUUAGACAGAUUCUUUCCCCAAGAGCUUAGAGAGGCUAAGGUGCUAGAAUUCAUCAACCUCAGGCAGGCCAAUAUGAUGGUGAAAGAGUAUUCUCUUAAGUUUGCUCAAUUAGCCAGAUAUGCCCCUCAUGUGGUUGCAGACAGCAGAGCCAAGAUGAGUAAGUUCGCUUCAGGGGUAAAUGAUAGCAUGGUAAAUAAGUGCAGAUCUGCCAUGCUGAAUAGUGACAUGACAUUAGCCAGGCUUAUGACUCAUGCUCAGUAAAUAGAAAAGAGCAAAAUAUUAAGCAGAGGGAUAAGAAGAAUAAGAGAGCGAAGAUAGGUAGUUUCAACUUCGCUCAGCCUAAAUCAGAAUGAGGAAACCGUUCCCAGUUUCGUCCUAAGUCAUCAAUUCCAGCCCCUUCUUUAGACAGUGCCCCAGUUUCUAAGUUCAGGGAGGGUAACAAAGAUAGAGAACCGGGCUCUAGAUCUCAGGGCAGUGUUAGAAAUGCCCAAACUAAUCCCCUUUGUCAGAGUUGUGGUAAGAACCACAAGGGUGCUUGCAGAGCUGGUAGCGAUGUCUGUUUUGGUUGUGGCAAGCAAGGCAAGAGUGUCAGAGACUGCCCUUAGUCAAUUUAUCAUAGUUAUCUCCAUACCUUAGCUCAAUUUGGUCACCCAAAUCAGUAGGUUGCCACCACCAGUGUUACUAGUGGGCAACGCCCAAAUCGUCUUUAUGCUCUUCAGUUCGGACAGGAUCAGGAAAAUUCUCUUGAUGUAGUUACUGGUACGUUGCAGAUCUUUCAUGUGCAUGUUUAUGCUUUGCUAGAUCCAGGAGCGUCUUUCUCUUUUGUUACUCCUUAUAUAGCAGUCGAUUUCAGAGUUAGUCCUGAAAUUCUAGCAGAGCCCUUUUCAAUCUCUACCCCAGUGGGUAAAACCAUCAUAGCCCAACGGGUAUAUAGGAAUUGCCCGGUUAUGAUAUCUCAGAAAGUCACUUCAGCAGACUUAGUCGAAUUAGAGAUGAUUGAUUUUGAUGUCAUUCUCAGCAUGGAUUGGCUUCAUUCCUUCUAUGCCACAAUCGACUAUAGAAAUAGAAUAGUCCAGUUUCAGUUCACAAAUGAACCCGUCCUUGAGUGGAAGGGUAGUACUUUAGCGUUCAGAGGUCUGCUUGUUUCCUAUCUUUGGGCAUGGAAAUUGAUAUCUAAGGGAUGUGUCUAUCAUUUUGUUCAUGUUAAGGAUUCCAGUUCUGAGACUCCCAGCCUUGAAUCAAUCCCAGUAGUGAAUGAAUAUUCAGAUUUCUUUCCCGAAGAUCUUCCAGGAAUUCCUCCCUAAAGGGAAAUAGACUUUGGCAUUGAUCUUCUUUCAGAUACUCAGCCUAUAUCUAUUCCUCCAUACAGAAUGGCACUAGAAGAACUCAAUGAACUGAAAGAACAAUUGAAUGAUCUCUUAGAUAAGGGAUUCAUCAGGCCCAGCGUUUCCCCGUGGGGCGCUCCAGUAUUAUUCGUUCGCAAGAAAGACGGUCUCUCAGGAUAUGUGUAGACUACUGUCAACUCAAUAAGGUCACGAUCAAGAACAAGUAUCUUCUUCCCAGAAUCGAUGACUUAUUUGACCAACUUCAGGGGGUGCCAUUUAUUUUUCUAAGAUAGACCUCAAAUUCGGAUAUCAUCAGCUCAGAGUCAGAGAAUAUGACAAUUUGAAAAUAGUUUUUCAUACUCGGUAUGGUCACUUUGAAUUCCUAGUCAGGUCAUUUGGUCUUACCAAUGCCCCAGCCACUUUCAUGAACUUGAUGAACCGUGUGUUCAAGCAGUACUUGGACAUGUUCAUCAUAGUCUUCAUAGAUGAUAUCCUAGUCUUUUCCCACAGUGGAUGCAAUCAUGCAGACCAUCUCAAAAUAGUACUUCAGACUUUCAGAGAUCAUCAGUUGUUUCCCAAAUUCAAUAAAUACGAAUUUUGGCUAAGGUCAGUAGCAUUCCUUGGUCAUAUCAUUUUCGAUGAUAGCAUUAGAGUAGAUCCUUGAAAGACCAAAGCAGUAAAAAACUGGCCUCGCCCUAUCUCUCCAUCAGAUAUUAGGAAGUUCUUGGGUUUGGCUGGCUAUUACAGAUGGUUUGUUGAGGGAUUUUCUUCUAUUACAUCCCCUAUGCCUAGAUUAACUCAGAAGAAAGUUAAGUUUCGGUGGUCAGAUCCUUGGAAGAAGAGUUUUCAGGAGUUGAAGACUUGACUCACCUCAGCUCUAGUCUUAUCUCUCCCAGAUGGUUCAGAUGGGUUCGUAGUGUAUUAUGAUGUAUCCAGAGUAGGUCUAGGUUGUGUCCUCAUGCAGCAUGGUAAGGUCAUAGCCUAUGCCUCCAGACAGCUUAAACCCCAUGAAAGGAAUUAUCCUACUCAUGAUCUUGAGUUAGCAGCCGUAGUCUUUGCCUUAAAGAUUUAGAGGCAUUAUCUCUACGGAGUUUAUGUAGAUGUCUUCACAAAUUAUAAAAGUCUUCAGUAUAUUUUUUCUCAUAAAGAUCUCAAUCUUCGAUAGAGAAGGUGGUUGGAGCUCUUGAAAGAUUAUGACAUGAAUGUCCUUUAUCAUCCAGCCAAGGCCAACAUAGUAGCCGACGCUCUCAGUAGACUAUCCAUGGGUAGUGUUUCUCAUGUUGAGGAUAGUAAGAAGAAGUUAGCUUGAAGUCCAUCAGGUUGCUAGACUAGGCGUUCACUUAGUCGAUAUAGAAGAGGGUAAUAUAUGGGUUCGGAGUAGUUUAGAAUUAUCUCUAGUUUCUGAGGUAAAAGAAAAAGCAAGAUAGAGAUCCCAGCCUUGUUAAGUUGAAAGAGUCUGUCCAGGAUUAGAAAGUAGAGGUUUUCUCUCAAGGGGGAGAUGGUGUCCUUUGUUGUCAGGGUCGUUUCUGUGUUUCAGGUGUAGAUGACUUAAGGCAGCAAAUUCUUGCAGAAGCGCAUGGUGCGCGCUACUCUAUUCAUCCAGGGGCCACAAAAAUGUACCGUGACUUGCGAAAAAUCUAUUGGUGGAGUGGGAUAAAGAGAGACAUUUCAGAGUUUAUGGCUAAGUGCUCUUCAUGUUAGCAGGUUAAGAUAGAGCAUAAGAAUCCUAGUGGGUCCAUACAGGAGUUCAGUAUUCCUACUUGGAAGUGGAAAGUUGUGAACAUGGACUUCGUGAUGGGUUUGCCUCGAACUUGUCAUCAGCAUGAUUCAGUUUGGGUCAUUGUAGACAGAAAGACCAAAUCAACUCAUUUUAUUCCAGUUCAUACUUCUUAUUCAAUCGAGGAUUACGCCAAACUCUACAUCAAGGAGUUGGUCAGAUUGCACAGUGUUUAAUUAUACAUUAUCUCAGAUAGAGGUACCCAGUUCACCUCUCAUUUUUGGAAAGUAUUCCAAAAGGGUCUUGGUACCCAAGUUCAUCUUAGUACAAACUUUCAUCCUCAAACAGAUGGUCAAGUAGAAAGGACCAUUCAGAUGUUAGAAAAUAUGCUAAGGGUGUGUGCAAUCGAUUUCAAGGGAAGUUGGGAUGACCACUUACCUUUGAUUGAGUUUGCAUACAACAACGGCUAUCAUUCCCGUAUUCAUAUGGCUCUAUUCGAAACUCUCUAUGGUAGGAGAUGUAGAUCUCUAAUUGGUUGGUUUGAAGUUAGUGAGGCCUCACUCAUAGGUCCUGACUUGGUAGUCGACGCCUUAGAAAAAUUCCAGUUGAUUAGAGAAAGACUCCGAGAUGCUCAGAGCCAACAGAAGUCUUAUACAGAUGUUCGUGGAAAAGAUUUUAAGUUCAACAUUGGUGACUAUGUCUAUCUAAAGAUCUCUCCCAUUAAGGGAGUGAAGCAGUUCUCCAAGAAAGGAAAACUCAAUCCCCAAUAUGUCGAUCCCUUCAAGAUUCUCAGUCGAUUCGGUAAGGUAGCUUAUGAGCUUGUUGAGCACUAAUAAUAUUAAUAUUUUAAUUUAAUAUAAUGUAUAUGUACAAUAAAGGCUCCAUUAAUUGCGGCUUAAGUUUCCUCUACAUCUUUUUCUUUGAUGAGCAAAAAAAUUUUUAAUUCAUUAAAAUUUUCAUUGAUGUAUAGUUUUAUUGAUUAACACGAGACACGCGUACAAAACACGUAAACUUGACUAGUAUAAUUAAUCUAAUUGGUUAGAAAUAUAAAGCAUUGGUGUUCAGAACACUCUCUCUUAUGAAGAGAUUCCUGUUGAAAUCUUAGACUAUCAGACUCGUAGAUUGAGAAAUAAAGAAGUCCCUCUAGUUAAACUUCUUUGGCGAAAUUAGUCCGUCAAGGGAGCUACUUGGGAAGCAGAGGCAGACAUACAUACCAAGUAUCCUCACCUCUUCUUCUCCAACUAGGAUCAAGCUCAAGGUAAUAGUUCUCCUUAAGAUUACUCAGUUUCAUGUUUAGUGUUCGUCACAAACUUGGUAUCCAGUUUCAUGCUUAUGUUCCCGUUAUAAACUUGGUAUCAAGUACCAUUGCAUAUUCAGUCAUGCACUCAUGUAUCAGUUCAGUUAUGUAAUUAUACAUCAGACAUGCAUUCGUAUUGUGAGAAACUUAGUUCUUCAGAACACUCAGUCAUGCAUUCAUGAAUCAGUUACACAUGCAUCAAAUAUGAAUGUUCAGCAUUAUAUGUUCAACUUGUCAGUCAUGUCAGUCAUGAGAUCAUGUUCCAGAUAUUCAUGUUCAUUAUGUACGUCAGUUGUCUUUUCACCCCUCUCAGUCAGUCUCAUUCGAGGAUGAAUGUUCUCAAGGGUGAGAUAUUAUAAUACCCCAUACUUUUUUCUAGCUAAUUUCAUCCCAAGAAUAUCUAGUAUUAGCUUCUAAAUUGAAUGAUGGUUAUUCCAUGAGGAAUUUUCAAGAUUUUCACAUUUUUUCAUGUGGGAAAUUCAAUAAGCUUUCCAUCGAUAUAAGAUUCGCCCAAGUCUGAAAAUCGGGUCAGAAGUACGACUAUUUUAAGUUCCCAUCAUAAAACAGCACCAUAUUAGUCAGUGGCGCACCACGCCACAAGAGGAAAUGGCACUUGGUAAAUUCAAAUAGGGGUCUUCGAUUAUGGCGCAUCGCACAGGGCCUAAAUUUAGAAUUGUCCUUUUCUAGUUUCUUAGUGCGAUUUCAUCCACAUCGCGCCAAAGUUCCAGGUCACAAAAGAAGGGGCAACGUGAUGGCUCUGCAUCAUGCCAUCCCUCAGUUUCUCAAUUGUCAAAUUCCAGUGACACAACGCGAUGGCGCUACAUCACACCAGGGGUUCAAUUUGGGAAACUUUUACUAAAAUUACAAGACGCGUUCAAGGUUAAAAAGGUCAAUUUCCAACUCCUAUUUAAGCCAUUUAACACGUGAUUCAGCCAAUUUUCACCCAAAAUACACUCUCUUCUCUCAAAAACCUCUUAAGAACAACCUAGGGCUUUUCAUAGAAGAUUUAGAAUCAAAAAUUUCCUUCGUCAAUCUUUACGAAAUCGUGAACUAAGGUAUGCAUAGUGUUCAUUCAUGGACUUCUUUCAUCCAUGAAGCCCAAGAAUCCCUUUUCUAAAUUCAAGUUUAUGGAUUUUCUUAUGAAUUUCAUGAUUGGGCUGCUCUUGUUCAUGUGGAUAAGGAGAAAUUGAAUUCUACUCCAUGUUCGGUGAUAAAUUCUAUGUGGGUUACAUUAUUAUGGAUUUAGAUUCUUGCAAACCUAUGAUUAAACCCUUAAAUGAUGAAAUUAGAAUUGAACCAUGAUGUUUAAUUAUUGUACAAUGAUGUUUACAUGUACUAUGCCUAUAAUAUAUUUGAUUAAAUGCCUUGGUGCCUAACUAGCAUGAGACCAUGAAAUCCCCAUGUAUGUACAAGUUAUGCCUAUCACAUGUUUUGAUGAAACGCUUCUAUAAAUGUAUUAUGGAUUAUGAUAUUAGUUAUAUGUUCAAGUAAGUUAUGCUUGGUCAGUUUCCUUCCAUCGAGUCUUAGGUGUACUCGUACCCGAAACAUUAGCUGUGUGCCUAGAACCAUGUCAUGUUUUCACGAUACUUUCAGUCAAGCUAUGAAUCCUUAGACUUCAGACAGUCUUAUGACUCAGGAAAUCUCCAUGAUCACAUAAACUCAGUCAGUUGUCAGAUAUGAGUAGUAUUCCCUCAGUCAAUGAAAUUUAGUAACUCAGCCCAUAUUCAGUUCAGUAAAUCAUGUUCAGAGUCUAUUCAGACAGGAGUAGGAAUUAGCACCGAGUGAACCAUAGGAUGGGACCACACACUAUUAGAUAAGGGUGUGAUUCUUAGAAGUCAUCCAUGCAUUCCAGAACUAUUUAGCCAGCAUAAGUUGAGACAUCAACACUGUCCGAUGAGGGUUGAUAAGUUGGAUAAGCAAUGUCAGAUAAGAGACCCACCAUUCUCUUUUGGGGAUACUAUCAGAUAAGGGUCACCCACAACUUGUUCUUACCAGUGGGGCGGUAUUGCUACCCUUUCUAAUUGGGGUUACAGGUUGGACCCCAACUCAGCCAUAAUGGCAUAUUAGGGGCAUAUCGGUUAGAUAACUACUUCCCCCAGUUUCAUGUUAUAGAAUUAGGACUGUCAGAUACAGUCAAUCAGUCCUAAUGAUAAAACUAAGAUAGUUCUUCAGAUUUUAGGACUGUCAGAUUCAGUCAACUCAAAUACAGUACGGAACUCAGAUAGUUCCAUCAGAUCCAGGACUAUCAGAUACAGUCACUAAUGUUAUCAGUUAUAUUCAGAUUCAGUAAUCAUUUUAUCACAGUAUUAGUGUCAGUUGUUAUGUCUCAUGCAUGUAUUCUCACGCUCAUGAUAGUUCAUCAGUUCUUAUUAUUGUUCAUGCAUAUGAAACCCAUACAUUCAGCCUACCUCACAUGCAUACUAGUACAUUCAAAGUAUUGACACAUUUGCGCUAUGGUGCCUUAGACUAUAGGUUCAGAGACACGAGCUCCCAAGCAAUAGUAGAUUCUAGAUAUCUACAGACAGAGUUAGAAGUGAGUCCUCAUCUUUCGAGGACAUGAUUAUUUCCCUAUUAUCUCAUUAAUCAGUUUAUUAGUUGGAUUUAGUUGGGGACAUGUCCCAUGAACUCCUUACUCAGACAGUUCAGUCAGUUAGAGGAUUUUAAGACUAUCAUGUUUCAAACUUCAGUAUGUUUAGGGUUGUUUUGGGUAUUUCAUACCCCAUUCAGAUGUUAUAUCUUUAUCAGUUAUGUUACAAUCUUGAACCUUAUGGUCUUUCAGUUCAGGUUUCCGUAAUCAUAUAGUAUAUUAUGCAAUAUACAGGUACAGAUAUCAGUUAUGGAUUAGCUUGUGGUCCUUCGGGGUCAUGAGCACCGUGUAGCAUUUCGGGUACCAGAUUCGGGGCGUUACAAUACUCUAUAGCCUCCAACAAAAAAAAUAUCAAUAUCACAUCAAUCAAGAAAUUUAUCAUGUUUGUUCUUUGCUCUUUAUUCUCUACUUUUAAUCUUUUAUAGAUAUAAAAUUAUUGCGGUUUUUUUAUUUUCUCAAAUUAAAAAAAAAUUCUACUUAAAAUUGAAUAAAAUCACAAUUGACUUUCUCUUCAAUAUUAGUUACUUUUUUUAUAUAUAUAAAUUUUCAAAAUUCAAAUACAUACAAUAACCCUUAUUUUUCUAAUGAGACGUUUAAUUCGACGAUACAGGUUCUAAAUUUAAUGAACAGAUAUUUUGCUCUGAUAUCAUCAAAGUUGCCACAAUCAAGUUCAUCCACUUUAAAUACAGCUCACGUGGAAGAGAACUUGAAUCAAUUAGAAGAAAAUCAUCAUUCUGCUAAAAAACAAAAGCAAGGAGUAAACUUGAAUUCUUUACUGACAGAUCCAAAAGAAAGAAAAUUUAUUUAAAAGUAUCAUCCAAAUGAUCGUGAUGAGAUUACGCGAGCGUAUAUUGAAAGAGGUCCUUAUCAACCCCGAGUUUGCGAGUUUCCUCAAAGAGAUAUUUCUGGAUUAAAACAUCAAUUUAAUCGUAAAUAGUUUAGAAUAUAUCAUGAAUGAUUGGAGUAUAGUGAAAUUGAAGAUGUCGCUUAUUGUUUAUGUUGUUAUUUAUUUCAAUAUGAAAGCAUUCAUCAAGGUGAAGGUGAAGUAUUUUCAAGUAUAGGAUUUAGAAAAUGGCACAAGAAAAUUAUUAGAUACGUACGUUGAAGGGAUGAACAAUGAUCACAAUCAGGCAAAUAAACAAUGUGAAGAUCUAAUGCACAAGAACAAUCAAUUCAAGCCGCAUUUGUGAAGCCAUCCAAUCAAACCAAGCUUGAAUAUAAAAUUCAUUUACAAGCUUCUGUUGAUGUGGUGAGACUCUUUUUGAAUCAAUGAUUGACAUUCUGUGGACAUCGUGAAGAUGAAUCAUCAUUGAAUAAGGGUAAAUUUCUUGAAAUUCUUUCAUGGUAUGCAAGUCGAUGUGAUAGAAUUAGAGUUCUUGUGUUGAAAAAGGCUCCAAAAAAUAAUCAAUUAAUUUCUCAUAAAAUUUAAAAGGAUAUUGUCAUUGCAUGUGAACUUGAAACAAUUAAAGCUAUUAUGGAGGAUCUAAAUGGUGAUUAUUUUUCAUUACUAGUAGAUAAAUCUUGUGUGAUGUGUCCCGUAAGGAGCAAAUGGCAAUUUGUUUUGCGAUAUGUUGAUGUUGGGGGAUCUGUUGUAGAAUGAUUUAUAGGAAUUGUCCAUGUUCAUGAUACUAGUGCUUUAUGUUUAAUAGAACCAGUUGUUAACUAUCUUACUUAUAGACACGUGAUUUUUUAUCCUCCCUAAAUUUUAACUUGUCUAUCAAUAUUAAUAUUUAUAUUUAUAUUUAUAUUUAAUCAUAUAUUAUUUUGAUUCUUAUUUCUAUUUUUAUUUUAAUUCUAAAUAAUAUAAAAAUAAAUAAUUGCUUUAAUAUUAUUUUAUUAUAUUUGUUUUUGUCUAUUUAUGAAUUGUUAUUAUAUUUUAUUAAAUAUAAAAUUAAUUAAUUAUUAUUAUUUUAUUUAUUUAUUUAUUUAUUAUUAUUACUAAUAUUUUCUAUAUAUAUAUUUAUAAUAUUUUUUUUAAAAAAGAGGGAUUUUUAAAUUUUAAAUUUUUUUCUCCCCCUAUCCUUUAUCUGAUAAUAAACAACUUCUCCCUUAAAAAUAACUGUUCCCCCCAAAAUACUCUACUUAAAAGGACUCUCACCCCCCAGGAGAUACGUACAUUCUAUACUGGUAUAUUCUUACAAAGACAUUCUAUGCUGGUAUAUUCUUACAAAGACAUUCUAUCUACGUGAUCAGACUAUAUCAAAAAUCAAAAAAAAAAAAAAAAAAAAAAAAAAAAAAAAAAAAAAUAAAAAAAAAAAAAAAAAAAAAAAAAAAAAAAAGAACAUCAGAAAGAAGAAAAAUCAAAAAGAAAAGAGACAAGAGUGUGAAGUUUGUGUUCAAGUUUUCGGUUAAAGCGUGUCUGCUGCAAUUUUCGUUCAAUUCAUCCAUACAGGUUCUUUUCCAUUCUUGUACUAAUAUUUCAUAAAUUUUAGUUCAAUGACUUUAUGUAUCAUUCAAUAUGUAAGAGUUUGAUCACUAAUAUGAAUAUGAUUAUAAACUGUAUUGUAUAUUUGAUUAUCUAAAUAUUUUAUUGUGUAAAUGAUGAAUCAAAAGUGAGAUUAAAAUUUAUAAAAGUGAAUAUUUGGAACAACGAAUAACAGAUUGUUUGUACUGAUAUAUGUAUACAUCAAAUGCACAUACAAUGAAGAAAGAUAGAAAUAAAAAAGUGUAAAAAUCAGUGAGAAUAAGGAAUUAAAAUAUGAAGAACGAUCGAAGAAUAUUUAAUUUCUUGAGUUUUUCGAAAAGUCCUCACCGAAUAUUCGCCGGAAAAAUACUAAAACCAGUAACCAAAACUUCUCCGGAAUCCAUUAAACUAACGACCAAACGGCCGGCGAAGCCCAGCACCGUCGAUCUCCCUUUUCCUUUUUCCGCUCCGUCACUCCCUUUCCCCAAGUCUAGCCGGAAUCUUCCUCAUCGGCGAAGUACAGCCGCGCCGCCCCUUUUCCCUUAUCCAGAUGCUGUCAGCCAUCAUUGGCCGAAAAAAGAAAAGGAAAAAUGCCCCCAACCGACGUAGUCUUCCCUCCUCCGGCGCUGUCGUCUUCCCGUCAGCCAAACCAGUGUCCCCUUACUCACUGCCACCGGCGAAUCUCAACCUAAAUCGCCAAAAAUGGUUAAAACAAUGGUGAGACACGUGAAUUUCUCUUCAGCAUGUAUUUUUUUUGGUUUUGGUUUAAAUCAGAUCUAUAGAUUUUUCUUUUUAGUCUAUGUAUCUACGCAGAUAAUUUUCAUGAAAAGAACAAACAAAAAGAAGAUAAUAGUUAAUGAUUCUUAGUUAGAAUAGGAUUUAUUCUCAUGAUUUUACUUUUUCUCUUUUUAGUGUUAGUGGUCAAGUCCUUUUAGUACAAUAUAUAAUAUAAUAAGUAGCACUCAUUAUUGGAAUGUUUCUUUAUUUAGUUUAUGAAAGUGAAAUAUAAAAGAAUUUAUGAUGACCAUUCAUUAAUUGUUUUUAAUUCAUGUGGGAUCAUAGGUAAUAUUUAAGUAGGG